rnacentral:rRNA from 1 species
UACGAGAGGCCCAAACGUUAUUCGGAAUUACUGGGCUUAAAGAGUUCGUAGGCGGCGCAGAAAGUAGGGUGUGAAAGCCCUCGGCUUAACCGAGGAAUUGCGCUCUAAACUACUGUGCUUGAGGAACCUAGAGGUGAGCAGAACUGAUGGUGGAGCGGUGAAAUGCGUUGAUAUCAUCAGGAAUACCGGAGGCGAAGGCGGCUCACUGGGGGUUUUCUGACGCUGAGGAGCGAAAGCCAGGGGAGCAAACGGG